GAUGAACGCUGGCGGCGUGCUUUAUGCAUGCAAGUCGAACGGUCCCGAUUUAUCGGGACAGUGGCGGAUGGGUGAGUAACGCGUAAGUAACCUGCCCUCAAGUGGGGGAUAACCCUGGGAAACUGGGGCUAAUACCGCAUGUGGUGGUAGGGUGAUGCCCUAUCACUAAAGCCUUCGGGCGCUUAAGGAGGGGCUUGCGUCCGAUUAGCUAGUUGGUAGGGUAAUGGCCUACCAAGGCAGUGAUCGGUAGCUAGUCUGAGAGGACGGUCAGCCACACUGGGACUGAGACACGGCCCAGACUCCUACGGGAGGCAGCAGCAAGGAAUUUAUGCAAUGGGCGAAAGCCUGACAUAGCGACGCCGCGUGGGGGAUGAAGGCCUUCGGGUUGUAAACCCCUUUUCUCAGGGAAGAAUAAUGACGGUACCUGAGGAAUAAGUCUCGGCUAACUACGUG
rnacentral:rRNA from 1 species